UUUUUUAUAAAUAAAUUCCAACUUGAGGAUUUAUUUCAUAAAAUGGCUGCAAAAAUGUAUAUGUAAAUAUCUAGCGGUUAGACGGACCGGCCCGCGGGUAUGUUGAAGUGUAGUCGGCGAAUCAUUAUACACUUCUCUCUAUGUAUCACCACUGAAGAACCUUCCUUCAUUCUUGAAACUAAUAAUACGGCUCACCUAUUGGCUCCUCUUUUUUAUAGAGGAACAAAGUCAGUGCUUGGGUUUAACAAACCCUAAAGUCUUGUCACGUGUGGUUAAAU
rnacentral:sRNA from 1 species